rnacentral:rRNA from 1 species
UUGUCGUCAGCUCGUGUCGUGAGAUGUGGGUUAAGUCCCGCAACGAGCGCAAUCCCUAUUGUUAGUUGCCAUCAUUCAGUUGGGCACUCUAGCGAGACUGCCGGUAAUAAACCGGAGGAAGGUGGGGAUGACGUCAAAUCAUCAUGCCCCUUAUGACCUGGGCUACACACGUGCUACAAUGGUUGGUACAACGAGUUGCGAGUCGGUGACGGCGAGCUAAUCUCUUAAAGCCAAUCUCAGUUCGGAUUGUAGGCUGCAACUCGCCUACAUGAAGUCGGAAUCGCUAGUAAUCGCGGAUCAGCACGCCGCGGUGAAUACGUUCCCGGGCCUU